rnacentral:rRNA from 1 species
UGGGGAAUUUUGGACAAUGGGGGAAACCCUGAUCCAGCCAUCCCGCGUGUGCGAUGAAGGCCUUCGGGUUGUAAAGCACUUUUGGCAGGAAAGAAACGUCAUGGGUUAAUACCCCGUGAAACUGACGGUACCUGCAGAAUAAGCACCGGCUAACUACGUGCCAGCAGCCGCGGUAAUACGUAGGGUGCAAGCGUUAAUCGGAAUUACUGGGCGUAAAGCGUGCGCAGGCGGUUCGGAAAGAAAGAUGUGAAAUCCCAGAGCUCAACUUUGGAACUGCAUUUUUAACUAACGGGCUAGAGUGUGUCAGAGGGAGGUGGAAUUCCGCGUGUAGCAGUGAAAUGCGUAGAUAUGCGGAGGAACACCGAUGGCGAAGUCAGCCUCCUGGAAUAACACUGACGCUCAUGCACAAAAGCGUGGGGAGCAAACGGG